AGCUGCAUUGCAACUGGGUCAGGAUCCAUCUAAUGACUGUCCCGAUCGGCAGCGCACAGUUCGUGUUGUUGCUCAGAAAAGGGGCACCAAUGAGCCUACACUGGGUGCCGAAUAUCGCGAACGGAAGAUCUCCAUCCAGAACAAAGCUGAUCUGAUUAUCAAUGAGGUGAUGUGGUGGGACCAUGGGGUGUACUAUUGUUCCAUUGAUGCCGCUGGUGACACCAGCGGAGACUCAGACAAAGAGAUCAAACUUAUUGUUUAAAAUAAACAACUCAGGAAGUAGUGAUCAGGUUUUAAAGGACAAGACCGUUUUUAGAAUCAACAGUUAUUUAUAGGGUAAAAUACUGUGUUCUACUCACCCGUGGUAGUUUUGUGUCAUUUGAAGCAGUCCCAAAGACUGAAGGUUUGAUGACGCCACUCUUCCAGUCAAGUAAAUGCAGGCUCUAAAGACUUAAUUCUUACAUAUUUUAAUUAUGAUACAGUAACACUAAUAGCAUGCAGUCAAUGUUUUUGGUAUAAAUAAGGGCCCGAUUGCAAAAAAUGGUCUUGUCUUUUAAAUACAUAAAAGUAUAAUAAGUCUAAGGAAAAUAUAAUGAAAGCAUAGGUAUAAAUUGUAUAACUGUGUUGCUUAGCUAUUGAAUAUCAAUCAUGUAACAUUCUGUCUAUGCAACAUUUUGGGUAAUACUUAUCGCUGGUGCAAUGCACAUGACAUGAGUGUCUUAACAGUGUCGUAAUACAGUUAUGGACGUGUCAUAAACAUGAUAUCGAUGCAAUGAUCAUUUUAUGACUGUUGACAUUAAGUGACAUUCGGUUUUGGUAAAGACAGCCCAAACAACUUUUCAUGACCACAAAACAUUUGACAUUGACAUAACGUUCAUGACUUAUUCAUGACAUGGGUAUAACGCUGGCGCCAAGUAAAGUGUAUCCUAUUUUUGUUAGGCCUACUAGUGUUUUCAUUGGUAUGCUAUACUGUAUAUAUUUUGGAGCAUGAAAAUGUGUCACGCUUUAUUCAACUGUCUUCACUUCUAGUCGUAUAUAACAUUACAGGAGACUGUUAACGUGGAAAAUCAUAUGAAUUUAUACACAUUUUCAACAAUGAAAACAAUAUUCUUUUUCUUUGGUGUUGGGAAUAUCCAGUAUCCUUUUGUUAUGUUUUGUUAUGACCCAAAUAAUAAAAUAUUAUAAUUUUG